rnacentral:lncRNA from 1 species
AUUACAUGUUUUCUAUGUGCAUCUGAGAUCAGAUAUCUUUUGGUGAUAGCUGAUAGCUACCUUAGGACUGGUAUCCUAUCAAGUGCAAUUGUAAUGAUCUGCUUUGGGUUUUUUGGGCUAUGCAAAAAUGCCGGCUAACUUAUUUUCUUUCCAUAAAAGAUAUGCUUAUAGCUUUCUUUUUUGUCUUUCUUUCAAUUCUUGUCCUCAACUACCGAAAAAGCCUAAAGUUAAAAACCAAUUCCCAAUUGAAAACCCCGAGUUCCCAAUAUGAAGCCACCUUCUUCACCCCAACAUACGCAUAACUCCUUACUUCAUAGUUUAUU